rnacentral:rRNA from 1 species
UACGGAGGGUGCGAGCGUUAAUCGAAAUUACUGGGCGUAAAGGGUGCGUAGGUGGCAAAGUAAGUUACUUGUGAAAGUCCUGGGCUUAACCCAGGUUGGACGAGUGAUACUGCUUAGCUAGAGUACAGGAGAGGGCAGUGGAAUUCCAGGUGUAGCGGUGAAAUGCGUAGAUAUCUGGAGGAACAUCGGUGGCGAAGGCGGCUGCCUGGUCUGAUACUGACACUGAGGCACGAAAGCGUGGGGAGCAAACAGG